CCCUCAAGACCUUGCAAAAUUACAACUCCCAUGAUCUCAUGGCAUUGAGCCCUUAGAAAAGCAUUUACAACCCUGUGCUUCCAAACAAUGCCAGAAAGAUAUAGAGAAUCCCUCAUGCCCAAUGAGUUUGUAUUUGUGUGUCGGGGGAUAAGAAGAUUUAAUACAUUAAUAAUAAUAAUAAUAAUAAUAAUAAUAAUAAUAAUAAUAAAUACACAAGGCAUGGUCUACACUGGUCAUCAUAAAAAAGAAAAUUUAGACAUUCCCUUGAAGAAGAAAGCCAGGUGAAUGCUAUGAGCAAGAACAUUUCAGAUUUUAGCACUACCUUGAAACAACAGCUGUUUCCAAUUACCCUUUGUUGGUAAUAUAAGCCUAGGUUUUAGCUCCCUGGCUUACUUUAUUUUUUUUACUAUGAAAAGUUGGCGUAUUUAGCUUCAAAACCUCUUUGUUUCAGAGAAGUUUGUUUAUUGCUUGAGGAAUCCCACUGAGUGUUCAAUAGUGGAGUAUAGAAUUGUUUCUUACCAAACUGGAGGACUUCGCUUGUUAAAAGUGCUGCAGUUCAGAUUCGUCAUGCCUUGACCAACUAUGGUGGCCAAAGUUUCCAUGAAUGUGAAUCCUCAGCAUGGAAAAGCCCAAGAGCAAUACUCGCCAGUUACUUACAGGAGGAACCACUCCAUAAUCCUCCCAAAGAAAGACCGGAUGAAGGAGGCAACUUGGAUUUCAGAUUUCAGUUUCUCAUGGAAAAGCACCUCAAAAAUCAGUACAAACUUACAUGUUUCCAGGAUCACCAGAUACCCACAUAAGAAAACCUCAGAUAGAUACAUCCACCUAUGGUCACUUCAGAACUUCUGCCAGGUCUUCUUUAGUCUCCUUUGCCCUCCAGAGAUUUCUCCACUUUGUGGAUCCAUUGAUGUUCUCAAAGGCUUGCAGGCCACUCGAUGUUCUCAAAGGCUUGCAGGCCACUCGAUGUUCUCAAAGGUUUGCUUUCCACAUUUCAAGAAUCCAAAGAGUUUUUUCUCUUAAUGUGAUUAGACAUGUAGAAACCCUUCCCGCAUAGAAAACCAUGUACAAUGAAUUGUACAUGAUGUGGACAC